rnacentral:lncRNA from 12 species
AGCACUAAUCAUUCUUCUCCACUGUAGAAUUAGAACAACAAAUUAUCUUGUACUGAUAAUUUGUUGUAGAUUCUUUCUCCAUAGCAACUGUGUGAUUCGCCUUAGGAUCACCCAUGCAGGAAUGCAAAUGCUUUGUCACAAUAGCCCCUGGCAGAAAUCAGGCAUACAGCUCUUCUGAAAGGCAGAUGCUUCGCUUGGCAGUGCAGGCACUGGUUUCUGUUCCACAACAACUUUCUGAAUUUGGAGAUAGAAAAUGAUGGAGUUCCAUAAUAGCCUUCAGUUCCAUUUUCAUUGCUGAUCUUGAAGAGAAGACAGCUGGACUUCCAGAUGCCUCCAGCCUCUCCCAGAUCCCCAGCUGGGUCUGCAGCUGAUGGUUGGUAUCAUAACUCAUGGUGUAGCAGUCAUGUGGUUAACAUUUCUGAGAGCUUAUUAUAUAUCAGACUUUGUCCAAAGUGUUCUACAUGUAUCAUCACAAACUUCACAGCAAUCUUAUGUGGUACCAUCAUUAUCCCUACUUUACAGAUGAGAUCACUGAGGCCCACAAAGAUAAGGCAACUUACUCAAGGUAACAUAGCAAUAAUGAUGGAGCCAUCUUUUGAACACAAGUGCUUGAUUCCAGGGUCUUCCCUGGGACCCGCUAUCAAAGAAGUUGUGUCAACUGAUAAAAUGAAUGGAAAC